AUCACACUUGCAAAAGCCAGUACCCAGACGUACGUCAUCCACUUGCUCAGGCACUGUGGCAUCUUCUGAAAAGGCUUUUUCGGGAGCGAUGCAUGUGUUUCACACAAACUUCGAAAGUAAUGCUUUCCCUGGAAGACCACUUGUUUAAUCUGGCAUCGUCAGAAGCGUUUGCCAAACCGAGAGAUGUAACUGUGACCCAUUACCAAGAUAGCAAUUGUUUUUUUCGUUGUGGUCGUGCCCACGGCAUGUGGAAGUUCCAGGGCCGGUGACUGUAUCUGAGCCACAGCUGCAACCGACACUACUGCUGGGGCAAUGCCACAUCCUUCAAGGCACUGUGUCCAGCCAGAGCAUGAACCCACACUUCCACUGCAACACGAGUCACUGAAGUGAGAUUCCUAACCACUGUACCACAGUGGGAACUCCUGAAAUAACAUGACUUCAUUUUAUUAGACAUGUCUCUUGAGUCAGAAAUUCCAUGCCUGGCAACUGUCAUCUUCUUGUUACUAUCUGUCGUGGUUUCCUUCACAUUUAUUUACGUGACUCUUUGUAAAUUUACUUUCCAGGAGAACUUCAGGAUGAAACAGACACUCUUCGGAAAAAAAACGGAGAACUUCAGGAUGAAACAGGUAACUUAUUUCUGACGUUUUCUCUUUUUUUGGAGGGGUGGAUGCAUUUCCUCAAAACAGCUUUUCCUUCUUUCCUUUCCUUCCUUUGAUAUUGCUUUAAGUCACUGUCUUCCAGGCACUUAACACCCUCUCAUUAUGAGGUUUGUUAAAUGAAGAGAACCAGGCUGAGAAGAAUGCUCUUUCUUCCAUUCCACAGAAAGCUUCCUUUUACCUGGGUCCUCCACCACCACAACUAGAUGCAGUGCCCGCUGUGUUGUAUUUGACAUUGUCCCAGUUGUUACUGGAAUGGUUCCGAUUCCAACCCUGGUUACAGGGAUGAGUUUUUCCUUGGAUAGUUUUGCCCUCUGUCGACGGCCGAUGCCCUGCAUAAGUUAUCUUAAGAUAGGCCAGUUCACGUCUGCCGAUCACACUCUCAAGGGACCCAGUGUAUAUGAAUAGCGUUGCCUGACUUGUCCUGGUUAUUUUCAGUUUACAACCACAGUUCUUACUCUUCGCUCAUUUUUAUUUUUACCUAUUUCUUUAUCAUCUCACCAAGAUGACCGUCCUUUGGUAUGUUUAUGUGCACUGUUACCCUUCAAGAAAUCACACUGAUCAUACCUAACGAAAGUCCAAAGUUGUGUUCUGAGAUGAUUCCACACCUCUCCUUAAUACCCUAACACAAGAAUUAUUUUCAAUCUUCAUAAGCCUGUAUGUGACAAAGCAUUCUGAAAAGGGUGGUGGUGCUUUCCAUGGAAUGGAGUUUAGAGAUCUGCCUCUUGAACUCAGGAGUGGACGUGACUUGAAAACGCUCCGGAAGCACUCAUUCGGAGGUGCAGAGCUCUGGCUACGUCUUCUCCAUGAUGUUCGGAAAACCUGUCCCACACAUGCAUGUUUAGGUGUUUCCUCUGAGAUAGGAGGAUGCACAGUAAACACGGGGUGAGAAACAGCCUCUCUCAGGGAAACUUUCUCUCUCCUGGAUUCAGCACCCAUGUGCUUUGGUUCAGAAAAGCUGCGCUUAUGCAUGAAGUAAAACGCA
ensembl:lncRNA